UAGCACCUGGUAUUGAUCUUUUACUGGCUUUGGUUACUUCCUCCUGGAACCUUGAAUCAUGGACAUUCCUGUAUUGAUUUCCAGUCAUGACCCUCCACUCCUCCCAGGUUUCUUCUUGCAGUGCCAUGGCAGAUUACAAGUAAUAAAUUAUCAGGGCGGGAAGGUGGAAGAGGAAGUUACAGCAACAACCAAUGGAAGGAUGCCAGACUGCACAGGAGGCAGAAAGACUUGAAGAAGCAGACACCAAGGACUCACCAUGAUAGCCAUUUAGGGCCUCCAAAUCCAGGGCAAACAACGCAGUUACCCUUUUUGGCACCACUAUACAGGUGCAUAACACUUUAUCGGCGAUGUCAAAUCAAAAGUCUCGAAUACUGAAAGACUCUAAUACAGAAGACUCUAGAAAAGUUGCUUGGUUUUUUUGUUUUUCAUAUUUCAUUUGGUAGCGAAGCCUGACCUGACUUGCCCUUGUCUGGCAGCAGAUCUUAUCUGAACUGAUCUGAGGCUACUCACGAACUUCAUUCUAAUUAACGUGACUGUUUGGGUGCAGAAACAAUGUGUUCAUUGCAGACCCCGCUGAAGGUGUUAUGAAUGUAUGGUAUAAGCACCACGUUACCUUUACAAAGUCCAAACAUCCAGUUGUGCGGGUUCUGGCUAAGGGGCUGUGCACCUGUGUAAUACAGUCACAAAUGCACAAAAUAGUAACCAUAUAAAAUGAGAAGUGCUAUGCUUGCUUGAUAAGAUAGGCGAGUGUGGAAAAUACUUUGAAAGCUUUGCAUUUUGAGAAAGUGUUCAUAAAGGAAAGGAAAGCUGCAGAGUAUUUGGAAAGUCAACAAGUGUUUAUACUACACUUUAGAGAUUUCCUGUGUUUGUGUGUGUGUGUGUAUUUCUGAGUCCUUUAAGAUGAAUUUAGACUUGGAAUUUGGGGGAUAUAUUUGUGCUUGCCUUGCUGCAACUUGAAUUUGUGUACUAUUAUCUGGGAAAUUAUUUUUAAGGUUGUUAGAGUUUGCUUGAGUACCCAGGAUAUCUGAGUGAGAAAGUUAUUCAGAGAUGUGAAUGUGCUUUUUAAAACUUCCAAAUUUGUAA